UCGGCGUCCUCCGCGGCCUCCUUGGCCUCCUUUUUGCCGUGGUGCUCGUGGAACGCGUACCCGCCGCUGCCCAGCGCCGCCGCCGCCGCCACGCCCUCCUCGAUCUUGUGCCGGUGCGCGUUCUCCGGGUCCUUCUUCGCCUGGUGCUUCUCGUACUGCACCCACACGAUAUCGAUACGCAUGCAUCGAUCGUCAGAAGAAAAAAAAACAUGUCGUCGGUGCGAGAGUUGCCAAUAAAAUUGAUUAAAGAGCGUGACGGACCAAGGCGAAGGCGCCGGCGGCGAGGGCGCCCAUCUCGCCGAGGUGCUCCUUGUGCUUGUGCUCCUUCUCCUCCUUCCUGUACGUCUCCGAGUCGUCCCGGGAGGAGCCGUACUCAUCGUCGCCGGACUUUUUGUUGUACUCGUCGUCGCCGGACUUUUUGUUGUACUCGUCGUCGCCGGAGGACCUGUUGUACCCGCCGCCGCCGCUGUUGUAGUCGUCGGAGCCCGACUUGUUGUACCCGCCGGCGCCGCUGCGGCCGUAGUCGUCGGUGCCGGACUUGUUGUAGCCGCCCUCGUAGUCGUCCGUGCCGCCGCGGCGGCCGGUGUACCCGUCGCCGCCGCUGCGGCCGUAGUCGUCGCCGCCGGACUUGUUGUACCCGUCGCCGUAGCCGCCGUCGCCGCCCGACUUGUUGUAGCCGCCUUCGCCGCGGCCGUAGUCGUCGCCGCCGGACCUGUUGUAGCCGCCCUCGUAGUCUUCGCCGGCGCCGGACCUGCCGUAGCCGCUGCGGCCGUACUCGUCAGCCAUCUCGAUCGCGUUCGUUACUUGUCACGUUCAGGAGUUUGUUUUCAGUACAGAAGAGUAAGCUGUGGUUGCAGUUGCGCUGUGCCUCCAG
rnacentral:lncRNA from 1 species